rnacentral:rRNA from 1 species
GCAGUCGCCGCGGGAAUACGGAGGAUCCAAGCGUUAUCCGGAAUCAUUGGGUUUAAAGGGUCCGUAGGCGGUCUUGUAAGUCAGUGGUGAAAGCCCAUCGCUCAACGGUGGAACGGCCAUUGAUACUGCAGGACUUGAAUUAUUGGGAAGUAACUAGAAUAUGUAGUGUAGCGGUGAAAUGCUUAGAGAUUACAUGGAAUACCAAUUGCGAAGGCAGGUUACUACCAAUUGAUUGACGCUGAUGGACGAAAGCGUGGGUAGCGAACAGGAUUAGAUACCCCAGUAGUCCCUGUCUCUUAUAC